GAAUAUUGGACAAUGGGCGAAAGCCUGAUCCAGCAAUGCCGCGUGAGUGAUGAAGGCCUUAGGGUCGUAAAGCUCUUUUACCAGGGAUGAUAAUGACAGUACCUGGAGAAUAAGCUCCGGCUAACUCCGUGCCAGCAGCCGCGGUAAUACGUAGGGAGCAAGCGUUGUUCGGAUUUACUGGGCGUAAAGGGCGCGUAGGCGGCGUGUUAAGUCAGCUGUGAAAUCUCCAAGCUUAACUUGGAACGGCCAGCUGAUACUGAUGUGCUAGAGUGCAGAAAGGGCAAUCGGAAUUCUUGGUGUAGCGGUGAAAUGCGUAGAUAUCAAGAGGAACACCUGAGGCGAAGGCGGGUUGCUAGGCUGACACUGACGCUGAGGCGCGAAAGCCAGGGGAGCAAACGGG
rnacentral:rRNA from 1 species